GUAUAUGAUUAUUAUAGGCACAUAGGCCCGUUGAUCACAUUCUACAACAUACUAUGUGGUAUAUGAAUACAUAGUACUCGAGGGAGAGGUUUUACAAGUCAUUUGAGAAGAGCUGUAUGCUUUCGCACUCAGCAUUCCUCACGUCCGAAAGGCCAUAAAACCAUCCGAUAGUCGACUUAUCUCAACCCCCAAGACUACAAGAGGUGCACAGGUGGAUGAAUAAAGUCAAGACAAGUGUGCACAUGCCCCGAAGAGCCAGCUACAACCCAUCAAGAAUAUUCAAUAAUGAUCCUUCCGCAGGUUCACCUACGGAAA
rnacentral:misc_RNA from 1 species